CAGACCAAACGCACUUCGAAAUUGAAGACAUUUUUCCCGCUUGCUCUACGAGAUCUCACAAUUUCCUCAAGUUCUUUUCAGCCAAACAAUUAGAUACAGGAAAUCAGUUUCAGAUCCACCUCUAGCCUACCAUGUCUGAACCAGGUUCUGUCUGUGAAGUUCCAGCCCAGAGGAGCUCACAGCGGGGUCCAGAGAUGCUGACAGUGAAGCUGGGGGACUGCAGUCAAACAGUGGAACUCAAUGUGAUUGUCAAAGAGGAGGAGGAGGAGAGAGAAAUCGAUGAGGGGGACGAGGAAGAGAGAGAGGAGGACAGGGACUCAGGAGAGAGCCCCAACCCAGACUCAGACAACGAGCCCAGUUCCACAGCAUCAAGACUACCUGGACGUGGGACUUACCCCUGUCCUCAAUGUGAGAAGAGUUUCAGUUCCUCAACUAAUUUAAAGAAUCAUCAAAGAGUACACACUGGAGAGAAACUUUUCCACUGCUCCACAUGUGGGAAGAGUUUCAAUCAUUCCGGACGCCUUAAGGAACAUGAGAGAAUACAUACAGGGGAGAAGCCUUACCACUGCUCUCUGUGUGGAAAGAAUUUUCGUUUCGCAGGAGGCCUAAAGAAUCAUCAGAGAUCACACAGUGGAGAUAAGCCUUACCACUGCUCUCAGUGUGGAGAGGGAUUCACUCAGCUAAGAAGUCUUAAAAGUCAUGAGAGAAUAUCCAUUGGAGGGAAGCCUGCCUGUGCUUUCAAUGUAAUUGUCCAAGAGGAGGAGGGUGAGAGGGAAAUCAAUGUGGAGGAAAAGAGAGAAGUUGAGGAGGACAAUAGUGGUGUAGUUGACAGUGCAUGUCAGAGCAAAAACCAAGCCAUAAGGUCAAAGGAAUUGUCCGUAGAGCUCCGAGACAGGAUU